rnacentral:lncRNA from 10 species
AGGGAAUAAAAAAGGCAAAACAAAAUUAUUUUAGCUACAGUCAGUGAAACAUCUAUUGACAGAGAGAGGGGAUACAAUCACUGAACAAGAGCAAACCAAUAAAGACCUUGAAACCAAGUAUGCAUCUGGGAAGCAGUCCAGAGAUUGACUGCAGGUCCAUUUAGGGGUUAGGGCAGGGUGAAGAGGCUGAAUCAUGUGGAGAGCUGGGGAGGCAGUUUCAGAAACAUCUUGCAGGGCAAGAGGAUGAAGGUCGAUGGUAAGGACAUUGAAAGAUGCGGAAGCUAGAGGACUAAAGAGACAAUCUCUCUUUCAUACAAGGUUGGUAUCUUCUAGCUGACAUUUAUGGCUUCUUUCCAUUUAAAAGUGGAAUAUUCCCCCACAAGUGUGCUGGGAAAGUCUCAGCUUUCAGAUGAACAAUGAAAUAUGCUGGAUACAGUCAGCUGCUACUUGGCUUCACCUUCUGCUCUUUCUCUAGUGUCAGUACUUACUCCUCAUCUAGGAAGAGAAUCAGUGCUUAACGUGAGAGAAAAAGAACCCAAAAGAUGGCUUUCUGAGGGGCUUCGCACAGCCUGAUAAGACAAUGUAUUUUCUCCCCAACGCUGUCAUCUGGGGAAACACUGUCAUCCCCAACAGUGUCACUGGGGCCCCGACCUUGAGUACUGACGUGGGGGAACUGAUGUUCUUUCAAUGGGGUUUUUAAAGGCACACCAGCAGUCACAGGCAUACACACAGUUUCUGGAAUGCUCAGGAGUUAAUCAAUCCUAGUUUCCAUCUGUGCACAUGUUGUGUUGCAGUCCAAGGAUGUACUUGACCACCCAACUGGCCUGCUGUAAUAGAGACCUAAGUGCUGUGUACUCAGAAACAUUGACAAGCUAUUAUCUUACUUCUUGCCUCCCUGGCCACAAUUCUACAGUCAUGUUUUUAACUACUUUUUUAUGUAGUUAAAAGCUGAAAGAUGGUAGGAUUUGCUAAGAAGGAACCUGAAUGGUAAGGCAGAGAUGAAAAUUAUCAAACUGUAACAAUCAGGGGACACAAUUAAUUACAUAAAGUCGCUUAAUGGAAUAUGCUAAGGAAAACUUAUUCCUCAAUUAAAGUGGCAUUGUGCAAUAACAGAGACUGAUCAACCUCUUUCAGCAGAAUCCUGGAAAACUAUGUAAACACCCACAGGCCUUGGAAGAUGUUAGUGUCAAUCUACUGGGAAGA